rnacentral:rRNA from 1 species
UACGUAGGGGGCUAGCGUUGUCCGGAUUUAUUGGGCGUAAAGAGCGCGUAGGCGGCCGAGUAAGUCCGACGUGAAAUCUGGAGGCUCAACCUCCCAGCGGUCGUUGGAAACUACUCGGCUAGAGUCCGGAAGAGGCGAGUGGAAUUCCUGGUGUAGCGGUGAAAUGCGCAGAUAUCAGGAGGAACACCAAUGGCGAAGGCAGCUCGCUGGGACGGUACUGACGCUGAGACGCGAAAGCGUGGGGAGCAAACAGG